GAGGACUGCGCUUAUUUUUUUUUUAUUGCAGAGAGAGCCAAAAGCCUUGCUUUUACCUGUUCUGCUUUUGCUGUACGUUCUGGGAAGGCCCAAAGCUCUCAAAGAUGUUCUCCCCAUAAGAAAGCACUUAGCAAAAAAUAGUUGAGCAUAAAGUUAAACUUUUGCAACUGCUUCGGCGAGCAAUUAAUACCAUCAAAAUUCUAAUUGAAGUUACUAGGAAUAUACCCAAUUGCAAUCUAAAGCUCUCUGACUAUGAACAAGUAGCAACCCUAUUAAUUUAAAAAAUU